GCAGUGAUAGUUCAGUGGUAGAAUUCUCGCCUUUCAUGCAAGUGUCCUGGGUUUGAUUCCCAGCCAGUGUA
rnacentral:tRNA from 1 species